rnacentral:siRNA from 1 species
GCCUCCUCAACCGCCGUACAA